ACCUUAUAAAAUAUGGACAGGCCCUGAGAGAGAGAGGUCACGAGUAGUACGUUAGAAAGAGAUGGACAUAUGGUAGAAAACGUCAAAAUCAUAUGUUUAUUGUUUACUGUUCAGCUACUGUGUUUUCAAUCGAUAUUUCAUUCUCCUCACAAGCAAUUUAGCAGAAAACUAGGUUUUUAGAAUCGACUGCUACAUGCUAAUAAAGCGGAAGAGAUUUAUUUUUGGAAAAAAUUGACCAAUAAAAGAGUUUCUUUGUUAUUUCAUGUACAUAUAAGACAUAAUUCACAAACAAUCACAAGGAAUAUACCUAAUCUACUUCCUAUAUUUCAUAAGGCCACAGCAAGAAUUUGUAGAGGCAUGUCCGAAGAAAAUACUAAACUCCAAUCUGGAUUUAAUAUUAGAAAGAGAAGAGAUGUGAAUCAUGUUGAUAUUCAGUAAGCCCUGUGACAUCGGCAAACUCAAAACUCAAUAUUUUCUGUUAAUCAGUGUCACAGAAAUCUAACACUGUAAAGCCACACGAUAAAGAAACAGGAGCAGUAAAAUAUUACUGCCAGGAGUGCCAGAGAAGAGCAACUAAAUCACCUGAUGAAGAACCUAUCAAAAUAAUUGGAAAAAAAAUUGUGAAUGAUUAAUCAUCAUAUAAAUAUUUCCCCAGCAGGAAAUUUUAUAUUAUUUGUGAAAGUAUCAAUAAAUGUACUUAAAAUUA